rnacentral:tRNA from 1 species
GAGGUUGUGGCUCAGCGAUAGAGCACUCACUUUGCAUGUGCGAGACCCUGGGUUUGAUCCUCGGCACCACA